AGCAUUUUGGAUGGAUUUGGAUGUUUAUGAUGCUGAUGGAUGUUGUGAAGGUUCAUGACCAGAAGCUGGUUUCAGAGAUGAAGUGCGCUGGGUUUGGAAGGGUAGUGGCCUUCAAAUGGCUGGAGCUGAAAAACACAGAGCCAAAAGAGGAAAACUUCAGAUAGCAGGUGAUAACUGAAGAAGAUCUACAGGAACUUGCUGGGACGCUGAACUGAGAUCAGCAAAGUCCUCGCACCUGGUUGUGACUCGUCCUUUGGACUGCUGCUUGUACUGAUGCAUCAAAUCAUGUCUAUCACCUCAGUACUUCGCCGCUGUACACCUCCAUCUUUGCUGACUUCCACCUCCCCUCUAGUUCUGCCAGUCUGUCAUUGUGUGUGCCAGAGACUGCCAGCACGGAGUCAUGACAGAAUGAGAGAAACAUCACUUUAAUUAGAUAUUACAUUGCUACAAAUGAGGUACAGUAUGUGUUAAAUGUAAGACCACAUAUAUAUAGCACUCCAUAAUCAGGUUUGUAAAGAUGCAUUUUCUUGCCAACAGAACCUCUGUGUGGACUACUGUUGUACUGACUUGUAUGAUGUACUGUAUAUUCAGUAUGUGUUGUGGCUGUUCUCCUUUUUAUUUCAAUAAUGUAACCAGGCUGUUAAAUUCAAACUUUUUUAUAAGUAGACCAUCAACAGUAUUUCUGAAAAAUGUGAGUAGCCUAAUUAUUUAUUUCAAACUAAAUUAUUCAGGUAAACAAAGAGGGAGACGUUUUGGGGAGGUAGGUGUGACUCACAAUAUUAACAUAAAGCAGCUGGAGCUGAAAGGAGGGCUUUGCUUGCUUUCCUUGCAGCAUGCCAACACAGGGCCGACGCAGAACCGUGCCUUAAUACAUAACACGACCCCGUUUGUUUAUUCACGGGCAGCUGAUAAUAACUGUUUGUUUAUUAGUUCUUUUUUCAAAUACAGAGUGGCUGGAGUAUUUUGUUGUUUCCCAUAAAAUUUGACAGUGCUGAUGGUACUCUUUCUAAUGUGUGCCUUGGUGGCUUUUUUUAGUUAUGUUGAUUUUUCUUUAUUGUUCUUUAAGCAGACAUUCCAGCAGCUUCUUCUCUGCUGCAGCUGCUGAUUUGGCGACUCUUUUCUACUCCAUUCUCACACAGUUAAUCAUGACUUUUUCAUCUGACUUUUGUUCUCUCUGCGUAACAGAUGCAACAGAUUUUUAAGUAAGAGCACACAAAAAAUUGACUUUAUUACAAUAACAAGAGUAAAUGUUUGAUACUUCCACCCCUGAAAACUACCUAUGACACUAUGGUUCCAUGCUUAGGUCACAUGAUGUCACCUGAGCCAGUUCCAUUCACUGAUGAAGACCAUGAGAUGAAAGCUCGUAUGUAAACUAGUAUGUAGACCUUGUGACCUUGAGUUGGGAUUAGUUUGUUGCAUAUACUGUACCUAUUUACCGUUUUGAAAAAAACAGAACAAGAAAGUCAUGCAGUGUUUCUCGAUAUUUUAUUCAUUCAUCAUCUGUUUUAAUGCAAGCUGUGAACAAAAACUGAACUGAACAGGAAGUGAACUAAAGGCCACAGUACAUUGCUCUGUCACUGCUGACAGGAGCACUUGGAUAGGCAAUUUCAUUAAAUCAACCUCUCAGUAUCAAAUAUCGCUUCAAAAAUAUACUCUAAUAAAAUAUUUUGAAGUUAGAAUAUCAAAGGUUCUACAUUAAAUAUUUAUAUGUGUGUGUGUCUACUAUCCAGCACUUAACCAUGUUUAAAUUAGCAGACCAAAUGCUACUACCCAGACAGAGGAAAUGAAAGAGAAUUAAGGGGAAAUUAUGACAUUUGUCAACAUGGGUGUUACAGUUUUGUCCAGGGUCAUGUCCAUGGUUGGUCAUGAUAACAUUUUAGUCACCCUCUCUGUUGGAGACAGUUGAGGAAUGCAGGUUCCAGCAAGAACAACACUAAUUGGGGCAAGAAGCCUUUUAACACCGUCAACUUAGCCCUCAAGCACUUGUCUUUGAAUCUUCCAGAAUGUAAACACAGAGAGUAGCGUCUUGGAACUCUGUGUAGCUACUGUGACAAACUGCAGGGAAUACACACAUCCUCUUCCUGCUCCCCUUUCCCCAAAUCUCUACAAAUACAAUGUUUUCAUGACCAAUAGUCAUAACGGAGAACAAUCUGAGAAUAACACCCAGGUUGACACAGUGUGUUUUACAGCUUUGACUGUGGCUACAAAAUGGCUGUUUUGGAAGCGUGCACUUUCCCCAGUGAUAGAUUAUAGAGAGAGUAAUGCUCUGGUCUGUGUCUGAGGCCUGAGCACCUUCCUUCCUUUCGCAAUAUAACCACCUACUCUAUCUUUACAUUGUGAAUCAAAAACACAGAAUCCCUAACUAUUUUAUAUAUGUGAACUGUUGGACUCCCUACGCGGGUACAGUCAUCGGUUUGCUGUGGUUCCUGAGGCUUUCUUUCAGAAC